AAUAGAUACCCGGGUAGUCCACGCCGUAAACGAUGAGUGCUAAGUGUUAGAGGGUUUCCGCCCUUUAGUGCUGAAGUUAACGCAUUAAGCACUCCGCCUGGGGAGUACGGCCGCAAGGCUGAAACUCAAAGGAAUUGACGGGGGCCCGCACAAGCGGUGGAGCAUGUGGUUUAAUUCGAAGCAACGCGAAGAACCUUACCAGGUCUUGACAUCCUCUGACAACCCUAGAGAUAGGGCUUCUCCUUCGGGAGCAGAGUGACAGGUGGUGCAUGGUUGUCGUCAGCUCGUGUCGUGAGAUGUUGGGUUAAGUCCCGCAACGAGCGCAACCCUUGAUCUUAGUUGCCAUCAUUAAGUUGGGCACUCUAAGGUGACUGCCGGUGACAAACCGGAGGAAGGUGGGGAUGACGUCAAAUCAUCAUGCCCCUUAUGACCUGGGCUACACACGUGCUACAAUGGACGGUACAAAGAGCUGCAAGACCGCGAGGUGGAGCUAAUCUCAUAAAACCGUUCUCAGUUCGGAUUGUAGGCUGCUAACG
rnacentral:rRNA from 1 species